AUUGAACGCUGGCGGCAUGCCUUACACAUGCAAGUCGAACGGCAGCAUAGGAGCUUGCUCCUGAUGGCGAGUGGCGAACGGGUGAGUAAUAUAUCGGAACGUGCCCUAGAGUGGGGGAUAACUAGUCGAAAGACUAGCUAAUACCGCAUACGAUCUAAGGAUGAAAGUGGGGGAUCGCAAGACCUCAUGCUCCUGGAGCGGCCGAUAUCUGAUCAGCUAGUUGGUGGGGUAAAAGCCUACCAAGGCAACGAUCAGUAGCGGGUCUGAGAGGACGACCAGCCACAUUUGGACUGAGCCACGGCCCAGACUCCUACGGGAGGCAGCAGUGGGGAAUUUUGGACAAUGGGGGCAACCCUGAUCCAGCAAUGCCGCGUGAGUGAAGAAGGCCUUCGGGUUGUAAAGCUCUUUUGUCAGGGAAGAAACGGUUUUGGAUAAUACCCAGAGCUAAUGACGGUACCUGAAGAAUAAGCACCGGCUAACUACGUGCCAGCCGCCGCAGUAAUAC
rnacentral:rRNA from 1 species